rnacentral:lncRNA from 1 species
AUGGCUUUUAUCUGCACCCAGUGUCUCUGCUGCAUGUGCCCUGCUGCCAUUCGGCUGGCUUUCAGAGCAGAGAAGCAGAGGUCCCACCACCACUCACUUACCGAGUGCUGGGCUGCAGCAGGCUGGCUGUGCACACUGUGGCUCACUGCCGUCUGGAAAGCCUGGAGUUGUGCAAUGCUGCAUGUGCUGCUUCUUGUAAUCUCUGCCAGCCCCUCAUUUCCGCAUACAGCCUGUUUACAAGAGCAUGGCGCAGUGAGAGCCUUCCUGGUAAGGUUAUUUUACUGUGUGGAGAUAUUAAGAACCUGUGCAGCUCUCCCCAGGAAUGCUUUCCUUUCUGAAGGAUGAACAUGAGGUUUGACCGCACAGCCAGUCCCUGGACUGUAAGGAUGGUGUUGGAUGUAGAAGUGGGUUGGGGCUGUCCUCACAAGGCAGCCUGCUUUUCCAAUACUGUGUUCAUUGCCUUUCCAGUCAUAAGGGAGUAGGACUUCUUGAAAAGCCCUGCUCAUUACAUCAAGUGUAAUGCUUUCUGCUUGCAUACAACUGGCAUAGCUUCUCUGUAUUCCUUCCAUUUAGCAACCCUAGCUGCCUGGACUAAUUGUAUGUAAUGACUAACUACAGGAGGCUGUAAUACAGAGGCGCGUUGGGAUUGGUUGGUGUGUUGUUUUUCUACAACAGGUCUGAUCCCUGAGGUUUCAAGUAACUCCACAUCCCAAAUUUUUUGGGAGAUGAAAGCAAAUCAGGAAAAAAUAGUAGGAACUCUUAAAUUGCUUUUAGUCAUUAUCAGUUUGAGAGAAGCUGAGAGUGACUAAAAGCAAAUAUAUCUCCUUCUAUUUGCGUAGACUUAUAGAAUCAGAAUCAUUAAGGUCAGGAAAGACCUCUCAAAUUAUUUCAUCCACCUACUACCAAUAUUUCCCCACUAACCCAUGUCCCUCAGUGCCAUAUCUUCAAAGUUCUUGAACACCUCCAGGGCUGGUGACUCCACCGCAACCCUGGGCAGCCAGUGCUAGUGCCCUACCACUCUUUCUGAGAUGGAAUUUUAAGGCAAUUCAUGUUUGUAUGUUGUGGGUUGGUGAGUGAAAGGACUCCAUUUGGCUACCUGUUCCUACUAGCUCUUCCUGAGUGUCUAAACAGGAAACCUCCCUCUCCAACAAGCUUUGAUAAACUUCAGCAGAGCAUCCCGACGUGGGGGAGUGUUUCUUUCCUUUGAUUGCUCUGGCAAACUGUGCAGGUGGCAUGGUUGUACAUGAUGGCCCUGCGGUGCAGGUAGGGGAUACGUGUGGAGGCACAUAGGUGUUGAGGGAGAUAAAAUCCCCGCGAUGCCCAGCACAGGGCUGCAGGGGAGCCGGUAGGUGGCAAUGUUUGACCAGACACCGGGAAAUGGCAUUUUCGUGUUGCAAGAGCUGUCGGGGCACCUGUAGUUAACGUGUAGUUAACCUGUAGUAAUUUCAGUGAUAGCUUCCAGGAGUUCGUUUGGGAAAGGUGUAACAGAACAAAUAACAACCUGCAGCGGGGUUCUGCAAUUAAUUGUUUUGACUUUACAGCAGCAGAGUGUCUCUUGUUCAAAGAGAAGAGAAAAAGUUUCUACUCAAAGGCUUAUUUAUUUAUGAGCUCCUUAUUCCAAGUAUAAAGCAGGACAUUCAGGUGGAGCUCACUGUGAGACCGGAUGUGUGCUAGAAAGAGUGGCUUUCACUGACACUUCAGAUACCAAUUCCAAGAAUCACAAGGUGGUGAGGAGGUAUUCCAGAGGGAAAAGGAAGUGCAGUUCCCUUUGUAUUUUAUUUACUACAUUGCUCCUUUACUUGGGAAAAAAAAAGAACUCUGUCAUUUCCCAUCUCGUUUGAUCUGAUUAAAGCCCCAGUGAGGGAUUCCAUUUCAAGGGGACUAGAUGGGCUUUACUUACAUCUCUCCCCCAAUUUUGUCAUCUCCUUCCUGUUCUUGUACCACGGUUUGUCCUUGAUCCUUCUGCCAAGCACAUCUUGUUCUAACCCUUCUAGCUUCUGUCAUGCCUCUUCUUUGCCUCAACUUCUCUUCCAUCCUCCUGCCCCUCUUGCUGUCUGUGAAGAUGUUCUUUAUGCCUUGGAACCCCUUCUUCUUAACAAAUGUGUCUCCAAAGGACAGUUUGUGCAGCUAUGAGAUGGACACUACUGUAACUCCAGAUUUUAUGGGACAAGAAGAAGACAACACCAUAGAGCAGGUGUUUGCUUCUUGCUGAAAAUUAAAUCUGUAAUCCCUAAUGUGGAAGAAAAAUUGUUAGCUCUUUGCUUUGUCUUUUUUUUUAAUUUGGAACAAAGGCUACAUACUUAAGCAUGUUCGAGCAUCACAUUUUUCAGAUUAAUGUCUUAAUGCAUUUCAGUAGAAUUGGAAAUGAAAAAUCAUUUGUGUAACAGAAGCAUGCUGGGGAUGAGUAUUCUGUCCACAGCUGCUGAGUAUAACUGUGCUCAUUUCUCAUAGAUCUUGAAUAAAAGAGUCCCCUACGUUUUCUAAAAAUAGUUA